AGUCAUUAUCUAAGGAAAGCAUCAGCCUGUGGAGGGUACAGACGUUGUACAGACAGGUGGGAGGUGAGCUGUGGAAGGCUGAUCACUAGGCGCACAGGAGGGAGCUGAUGGAGAGUCACAGCAUGGUUGGCCUGGGCUGUUGGGGCUCUCAGCACACAGGCUUUGAGUCUAAGAACUCUAGUUAAGAGCCAGUGAAAUGGCUCUGAAUAGAAAAGCAUUUGCCACACAAUUUGAUGACAGAAGCUGGAUCCCUGGCACUCAGAAAGAGAAAAAUGACUCCAAAAAGUUGUCAUCUGACCUCCCUAUGGGGGAUAACAACCUGCAUCCACUCCCCCCCCCCCCCCCCCCCCCGAGUCUUAAUUUCUCAUCAGUCUCAACCUGGUGCUGAAGGAGUGGCUGAUUUCUAGAGUCACUUUAGUCCACGUUGAAGACAGAAAACACUGGUUUCCACUGGCAGCAGAUGAUGGCAUCCACAGAGCCAGAACAGCAACAGUUAGAUAAACUUGCCCGCUGGAGACAAAACUUCCUGUUAUGAUUUAUGACGAAUUGCUGAUGAGUAGAUAUGCAUUUUGAGGACUUAAGAUCUUGGCAGAGAUUACAAGAAUGAAGCCAAGUACAUGAAGACUGUUCCUCGGCCAAGAACCUUCAUCUGGUUAUUGUCGUCAAAUAAAUCAAUAUAUGUUUAA
rnacentral:lncRNA from 1 species